UAGGGAAUCUUGGACAAUGGGCGAAAGCCUGAUCCAGCCAUGCCGCGUGAGUGAAGAAGGCCCUAGGGUUGUAAAGCUCUUUUGGCGGGGACGAUAAUGACGGUACCCGCAGAAUAAGCCCCGGCUAACUUCGUGCCAGCAGCCGCGGUAAUACGAAGGGGGUUAGCGUUGUUCGGAAUUACUGGGCGUAAAGCGCACGUAGGCGGACUAUUAAGUCAGGGGUGAAAUCCCGGGGCUCAACCUCGGAACUGCCUUUAAAACUGAUACUCUAGAGUCCGGAAGAGGGUCGCGGAAUUCCCAGUGUAGAGGUGAAAUUCGUAGAUAUUGGGAAGAACACCGGUGGCGAAGGCGGCGACCUGGUCCGGUACUGACGCUGAGGCGCGAAAGCGUGGGGAGCAAACAGGAUUAGAUACCCCUGUAGUCC
rnacentral:rRNA from 1 species